GGAAAUUCGGACGCACGCUUCCCCAGAUUCAGCGGGGGACGGGUGAGUAAUGCCUAGGAAUCUGCCUGGUAGUGGGGGACACGUUCCGAAAGGAGCGCUAAUACCGCAUACGUCCUACGGGAGAAAGUGGGGGAUCUUCGGACCUCACGCUAUCAGAUGAGCCUAGGUCGGAUUAGCUAGUAGGUGGGGGAAUGGCUCACCUAGGCGACGAUCCGUAACUGGUCUGAGAGGAUGAUCAGUCACACUGGAACUGACACACGGUCCAGACUCCUACGGAAGGCAGCAGUGGGGAAUAUUGGACAAUGGGCGAAAGCCUAGAUCCAGCCAUGCCGCGUGUGUGAAGAAGGUCUUCGGAUUGUAUAGCACUUUAAGUUGGGGAGGAAGGGCAGUAAGUUAAUACCUUGCUGUUUUGACGUUACCAACAGAAUAAGCACCGGCUAACUUCGUGCCAGCAGCCGCGGUAAUACGAAGGGUGCAAGCGUUAAUCGGAAUCACUGGGCGUAAAGCGCGCGUAGGUGGAUUGGUAAGAUGGAUGUGAAAUCCCCGGGCUCAACCUGGGAACUGCAUCCAUAACUGCCUGACUAGAGUACGGUAGAGGGUGGUGGAUUUCCUGUGUAGCGGUGAAAUGCGUAGAUAUAGGAAGGAACACCAGUGGCGAAGGCGACCACCUGGACUGAUACUGACACUGAGGUGCGAAAGCGUGGGGAGCAAACAGGAUUAGAUACCCUGCUAGUCCACGCCGUAAACGAUGUCGACUAGACGUUGGGAUCCUUUGAGAUCUGACUGGCGCAGCUAACGCGAUAAGUCGACCGCCUGGGGAGUACGGCCGCAAGGUUAUAACUCAAAUGGAUUGACGGGGGGCCCGCACAGGCGGUGGAGCAUGUGAUUUAUAUCGAAGCAACGCGAAGAACCUUACCUGCGCCUUGACAUGUCCGCAAUCCUGCAAGAUGGGGGGAGUGCCUCCGGGAAUCGGAACACAGGUGCUGCAUGGCUGUCGUCACUCGGGUCGUG
rnacentral:rRNA from 2 species